UGGCGGACGGGUGAGUAAUGUCUGGGAAACUGACUGAUGGAGGGGGAUAACUACUGGAAACGGUAGCUAAUACCGCAUAACGUCGCAAGACCAAAGAGGGGGACCUUCGGGCCUCUUGCCAUCAGAUGUGCCCAGAUGGGAUUAGCUAGUAGGUGGGGUAACGGCUCACCUAGGCGACGAUCCCUAGCUGGUCUGAGAGGAUGACCAGCCACACUGGAACUGAGACACGGUCCAG
rnacentral:rRNA from 1 species